rnacentral:rRNA from 1 species
GCUUAGCCCUAAACCUAAAUAAUUCAACAACAAAAAUAUUUGCCAGAGAACUACUAGCCACCGCUUAAAACUCAAAGGACUUGGCGGUACUUUAUAUCCACCUAGAGGAGCCUGUUCUAUAAUCGAUAAACCCCGCUAUACCUCACCAUCUCUUGCUAAUUCAGCCUAUAUACCGCCAUCUUCAGCAAACCCUAAAAAGGUAGAAAAGUAAGCACAAGAACAAUCAUAAAAACGUUAGGUCAAGGUGUAGCCAAUGAGAUGGGAAGAAAUGGGCUACAUUUUCUUCUUUCAAGAACACUACGAAAUCCUUUAUGAAACUAAAGGACAAAGGCGGAUUUAGUAGUAAAUUAAGAAUAGAGAGCUUAAUUG